CAGUCGCCGCGGUAAUACGAAGGGGGCUAGCGUUGCUCGGAAUGACUGGGCGUAAAGGGCGCGUAGGCGGUUUGUACAGUUGGGUGUGAAAUUCCUGGGCUUAACCUGGGGGCUGCACCCAAGACGUGCAGGCUUGAGUGUGGAAGAGGGUCGUGGAAUUCCCAGUGUAGAGGUGAAAUUCGUAGAUAUUGGGAAGAACACCGGUGGCGAAGGCGGCGACCUGGUCCAUUACUGACGCUGAGGCGCGAAAGCGUGGGGAGCAAACAGGAUUAGAUACCCGUGUAGUCCCUGUCUCUUAUAA
rnacentral:rRNA from 1 species